UCGGAGAUGGAUGAGCCCGCGUUGGAUUAGCUAGUUGGUAGGGUAAUGGCCUACCAAGGCGACGAUCCAUAGCUGGUCUGAGAGGAUGAUCAGCCACACUGGGACUGAGACACGGCCCAG
rnacentral:rRNA from 1 species